UUUAUACUUUGUCAUGUCACCGUGAAUAAUGUAACACGAAGACGAGAAGCUUAAAGAUUUGCAUAGUUAUAUCAAUAGGUUGGUGUUAUAGUAGAAGUAGUAACAACGCCAUUGUGAAGCCAGAGUUCUUGGAGUAAAACACUUCCAGGAAUGACAAUACGAAAAACACAACUAAGAGACAUGUUUAUUUCCAAAAUAGUUCCUGGAAUCGAAUUCUUGAUAACUAAAGAUAUAUAUUAUACAGAGGGCGCUUAAUGUAGUAAUACAUUAUGAAGAGAAAGCAAAAAAAUAAGCUAGAUCAAGUUCGUCGUAAAUUGCGACCACAAAUGUUAUUUGAAGACAUAGAAAUGUUAAAAGCAUAUUGUUGUUAGUAAGCGAGAGUAAAUGCAUUAAAUGUUUGGAAAAGUGCGAAGAGUCUGGUAAAUGAUCGCCGUGUAAUGACUUUCUUUACUUAUUGUGUCUGCCGUGUUUAAAUUGAGCCGCACUGUAUAGACAUGUUUUACACGAGUAUCUCACAUCUUCUUUUACAUACAAAUAUUUCUGUUUUCUCUAAAUGUCUUUUGUUCAAGAAAAAACAUUUACUAGAUCAGUAAAUGAUUAAAAGAGCGUUAUUUAUGUA